rnacentral:tRNA from 1 species
UCCGCCGUGGUGUAACGGCAGCACGACGGCCUUUGGAGCCGUGAGGUUCAGGUUCGAAUCCUGGCGGCGGAGCGA